UGGAGGGGAAGCAUCAUCGGAAACGAGGAUGUGAGCGCCGCCCGGGGAAGAAACUGGAGGUGGGCACGGCUGGACGUGAGGGAGAGAAAGGAAAAUUACGCUUUCACCCAAAGCCCUGGAGGAGAAGAAACUGCUACCGAGGGCCCGGCCGGCCACCUCCAGGGCCUCAGCGACCCUUCCGGCUGGAGGCCUCAUGGUCAGCCCGGUUCAUGAUUCAUAGAUCAGCGGCCGUGUUUCAAGACGGCAGCAUCUAGAAUUGGAAGGAGCGGGAGUCCCAGAAUCAGCACUCAGCUUGCCGCCCCGCAGAGCCACCGCAUCUGCAGCACACGGAGAUCUGAGUGACAAACCUCCAGCGUGGCAGGGCACGGAGAGACUAACACACCUCACAACACAGGUCGUUGCAGUUUGUUGAGAUGAGGUGAUACCGGAGAAGGGUGGACUGCUAAUCCAAGAUGACUGGUGUCCUUAUAAGAAGACAGAGACACACAGGGAAAGCACGUGAUGACAAAGGCAGAGCCUGGAGUGAUGCAGCCACAAGCCCAGGGACACCAAAGGGAGGAACCCCCUACUGCUUUCAGGGGGAGCAUGACCCUAACACCUUGAUUCUGCAGUCCUAGUCCUGGAACUGUGAGACAAUACACUUCAGCUGUUUUAAGCCACCCAGUUUGUGGCACUUUGUUGUGGCAGCCCUAGGAAUCUAAUAAGGCGAGAAGAAGGAAAAGCUCAUCAGCGGUGAUUGAGCUGCCUCCCCUGAAGGCCACCGGCUCUCAAUCCACCCAGGACACCUGAGCACCCAGGAGAUUGUGACUCAGACUCGUCCCUCCAAGACCACGGACCGGGGCAUCUGUGUACCAGCUCCUGCUUCCACUGGUGAAGGCUGUCCCUGGGGCCCGCUGGUGGCAGGGCCACCCCUGCACAUGGCCUGAGCUCACCAGCUUUCCAUUGAGCUGCAGAUGACGUCAGAGGUGGACGUGGGGACAUGGGGUGGGACAGGCGCCAAGAGCAUCUGCUGCACCAGGACGUGGGUCCUGACCCAUCAUCUCUCUGUAGCACCACUUUACUCCAAGUUCAAGGUGAAGACUGAAAGUCACCCAGGCAGACGUACCAUUCACCGUAUGCACUUUGGGACCUCUUAUUUCAUAUGUGUGCGUGGAUGAACUUGUCAAGAUGUUACGAAGGGGAGAAAGAAGGAAGGGGAAGAGGAGAAAAAAGGAGAGGAACGUCAAUAUUAUUAUCGUCAUUUCAGGGAACCUGGGACACAGAUUAAGUGAUGUUUUCCUGGCAGCACAGCUAGCGAACAUCUUCACACUAAUUUACACGAAGCCCACCUGACUCCCAAAGCCCACAGUCAUCUUGAACACAGAUGAUUUUUUCUUCCUUUACAACCUGAAGAAUCCACAGUCACAAGCACAUCUGAUCUGGUAAAGACAGAACUGGGAAGUAAACUGACUGAAACAUUGCUCUUGCUUGUGAUGAAUCGUUGAAAGAUAUACAUAUAUUUAUUUGUGCACAAAAAUUGCACAACCAUGGCUAUGGAUCCACACAAUUUAGGGGUUUGAAGGUGUGAAACGAACAGGCUCAGAUUCCUGACACUGACACCUUGUACUCUCGCUUUGUAAGCCAAGAUGGAGAUUUCUAAUUUUGCUCAUAACCAAUUUAAGGGUCAUGCUAGCUGCUAUAACAAAUAAACUGCGUCAGGGCUCAAAAAAAGUCACUCACCUUGGAAGUUUAUUUCUUGUUCACUUCGAGUCCUGAGUUGGGAUCUGGAAUCAUCCUCUAGGCAGUGAUUCAGUUACCCAGGUCCCUUCCAUCUUGUGGCUCCUCCAAGGUUACUAUGCUUGUCUGCACCAACCCAAGGGAAGGAAAGAGAGUUAUAAAACACAUCUGGUUCUUAAAGGGUGACUAUAUAACAUAUCUCCCAAACCAGGACACUUUUGAGAGUGAAAGGGGAUGUUAUUAAGAAUUAU